rnacentral:rRNA from 1 species
AUUGAACGCUGGCGGCAUGCCUUACACAUGCAAGUCGAACGGUAACAGGUCUUCGGAUGCUGACGAGUGGCGAACGGGUGAGUAAUACAUCGGAACGUGCCCGAGAGUGGGGGAUAACGAGGCGAAAGCUUUGCUAAUACCGCAUACGAUCUCAGGAUGAAAGCAGGGGACCGCAAGGCCUUGCGCUCACGGAGCGGCCGAUGGCAGAUUAGGUAGUUGGUGGGAUAAAAGCUUACCAAGCCGACGAUCUGUAGCUGGUCUGAGAGGACGACCAGACACACUGGGACUGAGACACGGCCCAGACUCAUACGGGAGGCAGCAGUGGGGAAUUUUGGACAAUGGGCGCGAGCCUGAUCCAGCCAUGCCGCGUGAAGGAUGAAGGCCUUCGGGUUGUAAACUGCUUUUGUACGGAACGAAAAGACUCUGGUUAAUACCUGGGGUCCAUGACGGUACCGUAAGAAUAAGCACCGGCUAACUACGUGCCAGCCGCCGCCGUAAAAC